GGGCCCGUAGCUCAUUUGGUAGAGCGCCGCAUUUGCAAUGCGGAGGUAAGCGGUUCGAUCCCGCUCGGGUCCA
rfam:Candidatus Thrbacteria bacterium RIFCSPHIGHO2_02_FTLL_57_19 rifcsphigho2_02_scaffold_13507, whole genome shotgun sequence.